rnacentral:rRNA from 1 species
UACGUAGGUGGCGAGCGUUGUCCGGAUUUACUGGGCGUAAAGGGAGCGUAGGCGGACUUUUAAGUGAGAUGUGAAAUACCCGGGCUCAACUUGGGUGCUGCAUUUCAAACUGGAAGUCUAGAGUGCAGGAGAGGAGAAUGGAAUUCCUAGUGUAGCGGUGAAAUGCGUAGAGAUUAGGAAGAACACCAGUGGCGAAGGCGAUUCUCUGGACUGUAACUGACGCUGAGGCUCGAAAGCGUGGGGAGCAAACAGGAUUAGAUACCCG